CCGUCGUCAGCUGACCCGAGCCGGAAGCGCGGGGCUCUUCCGGACGGCGGCGGCGGCCAUGGCUCCGGACCCCUGGCUCUCGUUGUACGGUGCCGCCGGCCAGAUCGCCCAGGAGAUCGCGGAGAAAAUCCAGGAGCGUAACCGCUGCCAAAGGAACGGGGAGAGUUCGGCCAAGCUCAAUGUGAUUAUCAGAUCAUUGUUACAGAAUCUCAGAGAGAAGAUUGAUCAGCUGAAGGACUUACUGCUUCGGGCUGUGUCAACACACCAAAUCACGCAGCUGGAGGGAGACAGGAGGCAGAAUUUGGUGGAUGACCUUCUCACACGACAGAAGCAACUUCAGGCAUCUUACAAGAAUGAAGGCACAGAACCAGAUGUGAUAAGAUCUAGCCUAAUGACGGGAGGGGUCAAACGAGGUGUAACCAACCCAUGGCUCUUGGAAGAAUCUGAGGAAACCAGAGGGCUUGGCUUUGAUGAUCUCAGGCAGCAGCAGCGAAGGAUCAUAGAAGAGCAAGAUGCUGGACUCGAUGCUCUUUCUUCAAUCAUAUCUCGGCAAAAGCAAAUGGGGCAGGAAAUUGGGAAUGAGCUGGAUGAACAGAAUGGGGCUGACACUCUGUACAAGGCAUCUGUUUCGUGUGAAUCAGCGAUGCAUAUGAUGUCUGUAGGUCAUUUCCUUCUAUCAAGAGAGGUGGCAAGACUAGCCAUAGUCUCUGCCUAAAUACUAGAGCGAGAUCAUCGACGACCUCACUAACCUGGUUGAAAACACAGAUGACAAGCUUCGCAACCAGACGCGGCAUGUGAAGUUGGUGGAUAAGAAAUCAACGUCCUGUGGAAUGCUGGUGGUGAUUGUGUUGCUGCUGAUUGCGAUUGCUGUGGUUGCUGUCUGGCCGACACAGUAAUGCGGAUAUGGGGCCCGUCGGAGCUGCUGCUCGACAGCUGAGCACGGAGGACUCCAGAGAAGAGACCGACUUUGUGCAAAGACCUUCUGUGUUUUAAAUAAACUCAACAGUAUGAGAAUGAAGCUGUGUCCGACAGACAUCCGUUCUUCCUUCAGUGCACAGCUGAAGAGUGCUGCGUGGAGGGUUUGAACUUGAAAAGGACUCUCUUCCCACCUUCAUUUGGCGUUCGGGAGGCUGCAGCUGGCUGUACAAUAGAUUCACUUCUCAGUGCAUCUGUGUCUGAGCACGCGCUGGUGUCGGGGUGCUGCCUGCCCAGCCCGCUGCCGCUUCUGCUGAGUGGUCAGUUGUCCCGAGGGCUUUAAAAUACUAAAAUAAAGGUGUGGUUUUCGAGUACAGCGGUAGCGCUCCUCUGCUUUCUGAUACCUUCCUUUGGAAUGAAAAUGCUUGCAUUUUUCAAGGAAUAGAUGUUUUGGGGAAUGACUGCAUCUGGAUGCUCAUAGGAUGGGAAGUGAGAGCACGCGGAGCCCUGCGGGGAGACGCAGGACCCCCAUGAGCUGCACAGAAACUCUGGCGAGUGAGUCAGUCGUUGGCCUGUCAGGGAGAGUUAUCGCUGUUGAUCUCCAUGGAUAGAAAUGUAAACAGCAGCAGGUCUUGAACCAGGUGUGUAAGAGUGGAAAGCCUUGUCCAACACGUGCUCAUGAGAAAGGUGCGCUCUCCACAUGCUCUGCCGUGCUCUGCCAGGCUGAACGCAGGAGGUGUGCUGGCAUUAAUAUACUAAUCUCGGCGAUCGAGGUCUGCCUCUUUCUUUUAUAACUUUUCACACACUGUUAAAACUGAGAGGAAGGAUUACCUAUUUAAAAACUAAUGAAAAAGUAUUGAAUGUUUGUUUCAACGUUCGCUUGACACAACUGGCCAAAAAAUAAUUAUUUUGUUAUACAUACCAGUUUGAUUUCAGAAUUGAUAGAGCAAGCAAUAAAUAUUGAAUAAAAGCCGAUCCAUUUAUAUACAA